rnacentral:rRNA from 1 species
GAUGAACGCUAGCGACAGGCUUAACACAUGCGAGUCGAGGGGAAACGUCAUCGCAAGCUUGCUUUUGAUGGGCGUCGACCGGCGCACGGGGGAGUAACGCGCAUCCAACCUGCCCACCACUUGGGGAUAACCUUGCGAAAGUAAGACUAAUACCCAAUGACGUCUCUAGAAGACAUCUGAAAGAGAUUAAAGAUUUAUCGGUGACGGAUGGGGAUGCGUCUGAUUAGCUUGUUGGCGGGGUAACGGCACACCAAGGCGCCGAUCAGUAGGGGUUCGGAGAGCCAGGUCCCCCGCAUUGGAACUGAGCCACGGUCCCUGCUCGUACGGGAGGCAGCGGAGCGUAGUAUUAGGCAAUGAACGCGAGUCUGAACCAGCCAAGUAGCGUACAGGAUGACGGGCCUAUGAGUUGUAGUCUGCUUUUAUGAGGGAAUAUAGUGGGUCUCGUGAGACUUUUUGCCGGUACCUUAUGAAUAAGGACCGGCUAAUUCCGUG